AUACGGAGGGUGCAAGCGUUAUCCGGAAUCAUUGGGUUUAAAGGGUCCGUAGGCGGGAAUCUAAGUCAGUGGUGAAAUCUUGCAGCUCAACUGUAAAAUUGCCAUUGAUACUGGAUUUCUUGAAUUAGUGUGAAGUGGUUAGAAUGUGUAGUGUAGCGGUGAAAUGCAUAGAUAUUACACAGAAUACCAAUUGCGAAGGCAGAUCACUAACACUAUAUUGACGCUGAGGGACGAAAGCGUGGGGAGCGAACAGGAUUAGAAACCCCAGUAGUCC
rnacentral:rRNA from 1 species